rnacentral:lncRNA from 12 species
GGAGAAGAAACAGCCUGAAGAACUAGGAUCCAGUGCUCCUUUCCAAAGUCCGAGCCAGACAGGGGUGCCUGGGCAGAUGCAGAGAAAACACCAUGUCCUCCACACUUCUGUUGGGGAAGUGCCUCACUCUUCAUUUCUACUUCGUUAGAAGCUGCCCAGUGCUGCUUCUUCCCCAUCUCCUCAGCAUUUUAGUGACAAUAACUGAUAUAAGUUCAUCAUUUUUCAGGUGCCAAGAAAGAAUAGAAUAAACAGAAGCGACAGAAGGACAAGCGAAAUAUCAGCUCAGCUGCCUGUCGGCUGCCAAUAUACACACCAGAAAGCCACCCCAGGCAAAUUCAAGGGAAUAUGAAUGAGUGAGUCUGGAGUUUAGAUUCAUGUUUCAGAGCCAACUCUAAUCUAGGACAGAAGGAGAGUUAUGUUUCUCAGAAAAGUGAGAGAGGAUGCCAUAGAAAAGAGGCUUCUAAACUUAGUUAUAAGUUUAAAUAACCUGGAAAGCUUAAAAAAAUUUAGUUGUUUGUUGCCGAAUUGGUGAAUUUUGUGAAUUAUUUAUAUUUUCUGGAUACAAGAUCUUUGUCAGAAAUGUGAUUUUUCAAAUAUUUUUUUUUCCAAUCUCAAGCUUAUCUUUUCGCGUAUUUAACAGUGCCUUUCACAGACCAAAACUUUUCAGAUUGGAUAAUAUCCCACUUAUAUAGGUUUUCUUUAUUGGAUCUUGUUAUAAUAUAAUAUCUCAAGAUUCUUUGCCUAACCUGAAGUCACAGAUAUUUU